rnacentral:misc_RNA from 1 species
AAAAUAUAUAAUUUGAUUCCGCGAGCAGCUCAUCCAAUUGUAAAUAUUACGGAUCCGAAUUUUCAAUGUCGUGAGAGGCAGAAGCAGGCGACCUAGGAUGGAGAUGCUCAGAUUCUGGUCCGUUGUUGCUUCUUUUUCUGUUUUUGUCACUGCAUCAAAUGUACGUGUAGGACCAAAUGAUCCGAAAGAAAAAAGGACGGAUCUAUUGAUGCGCAUUCGGAAUUACAAGGAUUUGGAAAACCCACCAAACUAUGAUUCAGAUAAAAUCACGGUCAUCGAGGCCGACCUGAAUGUAAACAGUUUCGAUUCCAUCAACGAGGCAAGCAUGGACUUUAAGAUUUCCGUGAUGCUCCACCUGCGCUGGAUCAACCACCUGAUCACGAACCAGUUCACGUCCGUGAAGAGCACGUUGGAGUACGUGGAGAUGGACGCCACUAAGAUGGGACGCCUCUGGGUCCCCGACCUAUACUUCCCCAACGAGAAGCGCUCCAGCUUUUUUAAUGUGAUGACCGACAACAAGAUGAUGAGGCUACAUCGGAACGGAACCGUCGACUACACCACUAGGUCCUCCAAUGUCCAACACGUCACAUUUUGUUCUUUAACGUCUUUUAUUCAAAUAUAUUUAGAAAAGUUUAUAGAAAUCAAAUCAUGUGAAGUGUUAAAACAUAAACACCACUGGACAAGCUAGAAACACAGACUUGAUCUGUAAUCUAAAAAAAGUAAUAAAAGGGUAAAUUUUAUAGUAGUGUGACAAUGUUUUAAAAAACUGUUUAUUAAAUUUCUUACUAUGCUAUGUAAAAAUUACGAUAAACAAAAUUUCUCACACAGAGUACACUAGUAAUACCAUUAACCGGGGCAAGUAUGAUUUGUACAUGUAUGUCAGGUACUGUGGAAUCAUGGCUAUAUACUACAUGUAGUAGUGCUAACUUAAUGUGCAUGAUUUUUAAGAUAUCAUAAGACACAAAUUUACAUUCCUGUUUUAGAACUUGGUGUACAUAUAUGUGUACAUAUACGUUUAAUUUCCUGAAAGGGCGUUUAUUUGACUUUUUACGAAAAUUGGCCGUCCCCUCACCCCUCCACACACACACACACACACAAUUACACACAUACAUACACAGUUACACAGUCACACAAAAAAGGUUCCACAAUAACUUAAUUGUUAAUUGUAGGUAAAUUUAUCUUCUACAUUCAUAUUUCAGAUUAGCGUUAACACUCUCCUGCCCCAUGAACCUGGAGAGGUUUCCGUUUGACAAACAAACAUGUUCGAUUAAAAUAGAAAGUUUUGGAUACACAACUAGCAGUUUACAGUUACGGUGGUCAAAUAUUUCUGAAAAUGCUGUAGCGUUAAACCAGACCAGUCUGCCGCAGUUUGAGGUCACUGGAAGAAACUAUUCGCACCGGGAGAGAACCCACAGAUUUAGAGGAAAUUUCAGUUAUCUCCAGGCUGAUUUUCAUUUGGAACGCAACAUAGGCUAUUAUAUGAUACAAAUGUACAUUCCUAGUCUCCUCAUAGUUUUGCUUUCUUGGGUGUCGUUCUGGCUUAAUGUAAACUCAGUUCCUGCCCGAAUUUCCUUAGGCGUACUUUCAGUUCUCACAAUAACAACCCAGAGUUCUGCAGUCAAUGCGUCACUUCCUCGAGUUUCAUAUAUCAAGGCUAUUGAUAUCUGGAUGACCACGUGUUUAGUAUUUGUAUUUGCCGCUCUGAUUGAAUUCUCUAUGGCUAAUGUUUUAAGUCGGAACAGCAGCUCAGAAAAGGAAUUCCUACAGCGCAUCUUCCGGAUGACUAAGAUUGGCCGUAUAGAGAAGGAGAAAAACGGAAAUGACGUCACUAUAGGUUUACGCCGUCGUCGACAAAGUCAAACGGAUGGUGAAAAAAAAGAUCUCAUUGUGAACGAGUUCGGCAAUGUCAAUCUGAAGUCAGAGGCCAAUGAGAAAGCAGAGAAGGUAGAGCAGAACAAGGGUCUAGUCUACGCCUCCUAUCUGGACAUUGCAUGCAGAGUUCUCUUUCCUGCGAUAUUCGCCAUCUUUAACAUCAUAUACUGGGUUUAUUUCUGGAAACUGACUGUCAACUAAUAAUAUUAUUCACCAACAGCAUUCCCAUAAUAUGUAUUUCCUAAUAACAACACCUACACUUCAAGUGAGAACAAGAGCUCCAUGUAGAACUGUAUAAUACGAAGUAGAAUUUUUAGUCGUUUGUACAUGUACAUGUAUAAAUGUAUGUUAAGAUCUUUACUUUCAUUAGUAUAGUUUCUUUGUCGCCUGUCCUUAAUUUUAUCUUCGAUGAAAUUUUUGACAGUUGCAAAUAAUAUCAAUGAGUACACUCGUUUUUCGAUCCAAUUUAUCAUACUGCGAUACGGUACCGAUGAAAUACAUUUUAAUCUACUAUAAUAAAAUUGUGCAUUCAUUUUCUGUUCAUAUAAUUAUACCCUUUAACAUAUAAAAAUCAAUGUCAUUUACCUUCUUGCUGUUUUUAUAAAAGCGUUGUUAUUUUGUAGAUCUAAUAUGAGCCAUGGAUUGUUAUUCAUAGAAUUAACAAGACUAGAUUGUUAUUUCAUAGAAUUACAUGACCUGUUGGAUUAUUUUCCUUUACCUUUUACAAUUUUGUCACAAAUAAAGUUUCAAACAUUU